rnacentral:lncRNA from 1 species
GAGGUCACAGCUGUCAGAUGGUGGCUGGGAGGAACAGCAUGGGGCUGGAUCAUUGGGGACUGGCUGGGAACCUCUCUCUUCUUGUAGUUUCAGGGCCUCUCCUAUGGUUUGUUUAGGUGUUAAUUUGGCUGGAUCACUUGGGGAUUAGCUGGGAACCUCUUCUUGUAGUUUCAGGGCCUCUCCUAUGGUUUGUUUGGGUGUUAGUUUGAGCUUCCCCACAGCAUUGCAGCCUCAGGGCAGCUGGACCAUUUACGUGCCCACUAAAAGUUUCAAGAGCAAAUAUUCCAGCAACUAAGGAAAGCUCCGUUGCCUUUUAUGGCCUGGCCCUGGAGUUCAUACAGCAUUGCUUCUGCCAUGUUCUACUAGUUACAGGUAAGUCAUCAAACCACCCAAAUACAAGGGUAAGGAAAAUAAGCUCUGUGUCUUUUUCUCCUUUUGGUGCUGGGGAUCGAACCCAGGGCCUUAUACAUGUGAGGCAAGCACUCUACCAACUGAGCUACAUCCCCACCACUAAGCUCCUUCUCUUGAUGGACAAGUGGCAAUAUUAUAGAUGAGCACAUGAGAUGGGAGAUGCUGUUACAGCCAAUUUUAGGGUGAUCCACUCCAUCCUUCUGUUCUAAACCCUAUUUUGUUUUCUUCAUAGUACCUUUUACUAUUGGACAUUAUCUUAUUUAUUUCUUUGUUUUCCACCAGUCAUCUUCCUUUACUAGAACAUAUGUUCUAAAAUGGCAGGAACUCUUAUUAUUCUCUACCUUUUCACUAGUACCUGAAUAGUACCUGUACAUUGUAGGUGUUAAACACAUUUUUUAAUAAAUAAUAAGAAUUUUGUAGCAGAGGAUCAAUAGCUGCCUCAGGAUUAUAAAACAAGUAAUGGAGGGGUGGAGUUGUAGAGCACUUGCCUGGCAUGUGUGAGGCCCUGGUUUUGAUCAUCAGCACUGCAUACAAAUAAAUAAAAUAAAACAUCCAUUAACAACUAUAAGAUAUUUUUUAAAAACUAGUAAUGGAAGUAUAAGCACAUUUUUAGAGAUGUAUACUUAACUAAAAAAAGAACUAAAACCAGAAAUAGUUGAAAGUGGUUACCUGUAGGGUACAAGAUGAGGAGAGGAAAGGUGGACAGAGAAUUAGAGAUUUUCUGUGCCACUUGUACACAUGAGACUUUUUUUUAAGUUUCUUUUUUUAAACUCUUUUUUUUAAUAUUUAUUUUUUAGGUGUAGAUGGACACAACACAAUGCCUUUAUUUUUAUGUGGUGCUGAGGAUCGAACCAGGGCCCCACCCGUGCUAGGCAAGCUGCUCUACCGCUGAGCCACAAUCCCAGCCCGAGACUUUUAAAAUUCUAUGCAGUUUUAUUUUAAUAUUAAAAUUUUGAAAAAUUAAAAAGUUAAUUGUAGAGCUGGAUGUGGUAGCCAAACCUGUAAUCCCAGUAGCUCAGGAAGCUGAGGCAGGAGGAUCAUGAGUUCAAAGCCAGCCUCAGCAAAAUAGAGGCACUAAGCAACUCAGUCCCUGUCUCUAAAUAAAAUACAAAAUAGGGCUGGAGAUGUGGCUCAGUGGUUGGGCAUCCCUGAGUUCAAUCCCCAGUACAAGAAAAAAAAAAAAACUCGUUAUAGAAAAUAUAGGAAAACUGGAAGAGAAUACAAAACUAACAAAACAUUAUUUGUAACACCACCACCUAGAGAUUGCCAUUGGAAACAUCUUGGUCUUUUACCUUCUUGUUCAAAUUAUUUAAAACAGACUACUUUCUAUCUUUCCUUUUCCACUUCUUUGUAUUAAUUAUAUUGUAAAGAUUUGCUCUGGGCUAGAAAUGCUACCUGGAAAAAAGUGUUUGCCUAAGGUUUAAAAUUCUGUCAUUUCCUGUCUACCCUACUUAGAGGUCUGUAUACUUCUUUUUCUUUUCCUCUCUCUACCCUUAUAGUCCACCCCAAACAAUCCUCUUUAACCCACUCUGACCCCCACUUUCUUUCUCCCCUGUUCAGGGACUUUAUGAACUCAUCAUUUAUUCUUUUUCCUCAGUCACAGAACAAUAGCGUGUGGGAUUUGUUGUUGUUGUUGUUGCUUAUAGCUAUUACUGCUUCACCAAAACUUGAUGGUUUAAAACUAAAACCAUCCAUUUAUUAUUUUCAACAAUUCCAUGGGCAGAAAUGUGAACAGGGUACAGGUCCCGAAUCUCCCUUCUAAGUGAUGGAGUAUAAUGUCCAACAUAUUUGAUGCUUUAGAAUGACUGCAAAGGGUGAGACUGAUUACAAUAGGGGUCAUGUGUCUUGGACUUCAGCCUAAGUUGUCAAUCAGAAGCCAGGUCUCUGUGUGGUAUCUCCCUGUGAGAUCCUUCUGGUGGAAUAGUCCGCCUUCUUGCAAAGCAGCUCUGGAAGGGCUAGGGCUGUAGCUCACUGACAGAGCACUUGCCUAGUAUGUGCAAGGCCCUGAGUUCAAUCUUCAGCACCACAAAAAACAAAACCCACACGCAAAGCAGCUCUGGGCUCCCAGUUAGACUUGGAACUCAAGGGCAUUUCUUGAAAGUCGCAGGGAUAGACUAGAUUCAGGAGUAGGAACAUAGGGCAUCAGCACCAAUAGGGGCAGGUCACUGGGAGCCACCAUUGUAACAAACCUCCCUUGCGUCAGGCAGAAGUGAAUUCAAAUCCUCUCUUCUUGGUUUACUGACUAUCUGGCCUUGGCCUAAUUUCUUAACUUCUCUGAACCAUUAUUUCCUUGCUUAUCUGUAAAAUUAGCAGGAUGUAAUUCCUCCCAGGUAGGAUCAUUCUGUGUUUUGAAUUGUAAAUUGUACUGGCACCACUACUGCAUGGAAUUUCAUAGAAAGGACUCAAACACUAGAAAGACAUGUAAACUGUAAACCUAAGAGAAGUAAGCUCCUGGAAACCUGAAGAAAUCUUCACAAGGUCUUUAUUUAUUUCAUUAUUGUAUUUUUUUUUUUACAGUACUUGGGAUCAAACCCAGGGCCUCAUACAUGCUAAACAAGCAUUCUACUAUUUAGCUACAUCCUCAGUCCUUUUUUGAGGGGGGAUGGGGGGAAUGUGAAUUUAAACUUCCAAGGAACCAAAAGUUGGAUCCAAAGGUAUUUAUUUAUUUUUAAUUAAUUUAUUUAUUUAUUUUAUAGUAAAAUGCAUUUUGACAUAUUGUAUGCAAAUGGAGCACAACUUCUUAAUCCUCUGGCUGUACAAGAUUCAGAGUCACUCCAUUAGUGUAAUCAUAUAUGUAUAUAGUGUAAUAAUAUCUGUCUCUUUCUACCAUCCUUCCCAUCCCAUAACCCAACCCUUCCCCUCACUACCUCUACACAAACCAAAGUUCCUUCAUUCUUCCCUAUCCCCCAGCCCCACUAUGGAACAGCGUCCGCUGAUCAGAGAAAACAUUGGGCUUUUACUUGGGGGGGGGGGUGUUGGCUUAUUUCACUUACCAUGAUUUUCUCUAGUUCUAUCCAUUUAUCUGCAAAUGCCAUAAUUUAAUUCUUCUUUAAGGCUGAGUAAUAUUCCAUUGUUAUAUGUGCCACAUUUUCUUUAUCCAUGUUGAAGGGCAUCUAGGUUGGUUCCACAGUUUAGCUAUUGUGAAUUGAGGUGCUAUAAACACUGAUGUGGCUGCAUCCCUGUAGCUGAUUUUAAGUCCCAAAGGUAUUUAAAUCUGAAGGAAAAUACAAAAAAAAAUGCAAUCCCAAUGGAAAAAAAAAAUUGAUAUUGUUGAUUCUGUUGUAUGGUUGUGGGCAUGCAGAAUUUCUUCUCCCACCCCCCUCCAUCUUGGCUUUUUUUUUUUUUCGCUUUACCAACCUCUGGGCUUGAUUUUAAGUUUACUCUUUCUCUUCUUACCUCUCAUGGCAUAGUAACUUUUUAUUCUCUCCAAAAACUUGGAGCUUCAAGAAACUCUCCCCAUGUUCACUGACUUCCCCUUGUGAAAAUUCUUUGUACAAAAUGGACAGGGGGGUGGGGGCUAGGGAGGUAGCUCAGUGGUAAGGCACUUGCCCAGCAUGUGGGAGGCACUGGGUUCGAUUCUCAGCACCACAUAAAAAUAAAUAAAGGUAUUGUGUCCACCUACAACUAAGAAAUUAAAACAAAAACAGAAUGAACUUGGACCUGUCACAGCCCACUUGAGUGGGGUCAAGGGACCGUGGGAAAGAAGAGUAAAUACUCAGGUCUCCAAUGCCUGCUCCAGGAACUCUCUCACAGAACCAACCCCCCAAAACAGCCUGCCCUAUCUUAAGACUCUUUUAAGACUGGGAUCCUAAUUAGGAUAAGUUAUACUCCAUGUAUGUCUCAUAAGUGAAAAUAUACUCUACUGUCUUGUAUACCUAAAAAGAACAAAUUUUUUAAAAAGACUGUUUUUACUUAGGAACUGAUGACAGAACUGCCAACUCUGACCUCAAGACUCACUUUGAAUUGUUAUGACACCAGUCAGGGCUUGCCAGAUCCCUCAAGCAACAAAAGUGCUAGUUGAGCUUUCAUUCCCAACAACUUGUGCAGACUUCUCUGUCACGAUAAAGCCCUCAACCUCUCCUUUGCUCUCCCUGUAUCCCAGAGGUCACCCUGGCCUGUCCUUGUGUGGCCUGGAUUGCAAUCCUAGUCUUUGUUCCCAAAGAAAAGUUCCUUUGUUGGAGACGCCUGUGUACAUUUCUUGUUUGACUUUGACACUCUCUAGAAACCUCCCAAAGCCUAGUUCCCAUAACUGGUUACCUCUUAAGGCAGAAGAAACAGAGCUCACACCCCAUAAGAGGUCCUCAGAACUGUGCCCUUCUUCCUGGCCUCCUGCCCGGUCCCUUCCACUAUUAGGCCCCUCCUCACAGACUGUUUGAGGCUCCCGGGAACUAAAGAGAUUUGUGAGUAAGUGACCUUUAACCCAAUGAGAAUCCUCCACCCACAAUCUGGGCUAAUCUUCUUAGGUGUUAAUAUUUAGCAUUACCUUGUACUACUCAGCUCCCUGAACCCUACUCAGCAAAACCUUUUAAAACGCUUCCUUACUUCUUCUCCCUACUUUUUGUCUCGGUUGCUGUUGUUUUGAGCUGGGGUUUUACUGUGUUGCCCAGACUGGCCUUGAACUCCUGGGUUUAAGUGAUCCUUCUGCCUCAGCCUCCCACACAUAGCCAGGACUACAGUACCUGCCAUUGAGCCUGGCUCCCCUACUCUUUUAAUGGGAAUUUCUGGUGUAGCAAAGGUCUGGUAAAGAAGACUAUUCCUCUGAAAACCAAGCAUUUGAUGACAGACACAAGAAUGAUUUCUCAGAGUUGCUAUCAAUCACAGGCACAUUAUUAAAGCACAUUAUUAAAAAUCUGUAAUAAAUGUACCAGUGAAGAAGGUGAUCAGUGCUUUUAAAGCUUGGAAGAGCAGAUUCUGGUUCUGCAGGUCCAGGGUGGUAUCUCAGCUUCUGCAUGUCUACGGAAGCUCCCAGGAGACAUUGCUACCACUGCUCCUGCUGCUGCUGCUGCUGCUAUUGCUGGUGUAGGAGCCAUGGUCAGAGUGUUAUUUAUGGUUCUCCAGAGAAACAGAACCAACAGGACAUGGACACACACACACACACACACACACAUACACACACACACACACCUCUGGCCAAAUUAUUAUAUGGUUGUGUAUAGAUAUUUAUUAUGGAAAUUGGCUCACAAAUUAUGAAAACCAAAAAGCCCCACAAUCUUCUGCUGUCAGAAAACACUGAUGAUGUAAUUCAGUCUGGGUCUGAAGCCCCCAAAACCAGGCACUCUGAUGUCUGAGGACAGGAGAUGGAUGACUCAGAUCAAGGAGAGAGAGAUCUUGUCUUUCUUCUACCCUUUGGUUCUAUUCAGAUCCUCAGUGGAUUGGAUAAUGUCUGCCUACGUUUGUGGGGUGGAUCUUCUUUAUUUAAUUUACUGACCCAAAUGUUAAUAUCUUCUGGAAAGACCCUCCCAAACACAUUCAGAAAUGGUGUUUCAUCAGCCAUCGGGACAUCCCUUAGCCCAGUCAAGUGGACACACAAAAAUUAACUGUCACACUUAGCAAGGAAAUGCUACUAAGUAGUAUGGGAAGGAAACGACAGGCGAAGGAUGUCUUCCUGCAGCUCACAGCCAGCAAACAUCUCUGUUUUUCCAGGCAUCCCUGAACAGUCAAGGGCCUGGGUAUGGGGUCAGAGAGAGCUGUGUCCAACUCUGCUUUCCAUUUACUGUGUGGUCUCUGCCAAGUCAUUUAACUUGUCUGUGACCCAGUUUCCACAUGUAAAAACGGGGGUGGAGAUCAUAUCUGCUUCACUGAACUGUCAAGGAGAUUUUAUGCCACCGUGAGUCUGAUGGCUUAGCAGAGUAUCUGGUACAGAGUUGGCCUCUAAAAGCAGCGCAGAGUCUUGCUAUUGCAGGGACGGAAUCCAGAGACUAAGCAGACUACGCAAGAUUCAGCUAAGCAAGGGCCUGCUGGCUUCAGCUUUUCCAUACUCCCAGUGAGGAUGUGGCUAUGUUUUCACAAUUCCAGAUUUAAUAACAGCCAUGUCAGUGGAUGUGCUCCUGUGUUCUCUGAUUAAAUGGACAUACUUGAGUCGCCCCAGGCAAAAUGAGGUCAUGCAUCAGAAGCCUAAAAAGAAAGCUUCUUUCUAAUUCCCUGUCACACCCUCUGAUGUUGAGGUGUCUUUCACCAGUUUUGUUUUCUGUUUUUAAGUCCAUGUGACACCGUUGCCUCAGAUUCUUCUCAAAUAGCAGAAAAAAGAAAACAUUUCAGAGUUCUUAUGAAUUUUCUUCUCACACACACACACACACACACACACACACACACGGCUAUUCUUUGGGUCCCUAUACUCCCUUCCUAAGCUUCUGGCUUUUCCAGACCUCCUAAUUAAACUGCAAUAGCUGCAUAUCCUUUUAAAGGAUUUAUUCUGGGCCAGGUAUGGUGGUAUUUGCCUGUAAUUUCAGAAACUCUAGAGGCUGAGGCAGGAGGAUCACAGGUUCCAAAUCAGCCUGGACAACUUAGCAAGAUCCUGUCUCAAAAUAAAAUAAAAAGGGCUGAGAAUAUAAUUCAGUGGUACAGCGCCCCUGGGUUCAAUCCCCUAAACCACUAAUUAAUUAAUUAAUUAAGGAUUUACUCUGUUUUGCUGGAACUCUUAAACCACUUGAAAAAAAAACUACAGCUGGGCGCGGUGGCACACGCCUGUGAUCCCAGUGGCUCCAGAGGCUGAGAAGGAGGAUCCCUAGUUCAAAGCCAGCCUCAGCAAAAGCGAGGCGCUAAGCAACUCAGUGAGACCCUGUCUCUAAAUAAAAUACAAAAUAGGGCUGGGGAGGCUCAGCAGUAGAGUGCUCGCCUGGCACGUGCGGGACCCUGGGUUCGAUCCUCAGCACCCAAUAAAAAUAAAUAAGUUAAAUAAAGGUAUUUAGUGCAACUACAACUAAAAAAUAAAUAUCUUAAAAAAAUAGGGCUGGGGAUGUGGUUCAGUGACCGAUGGUACUCCCCGCUCCCAAAAAAAAAAAAAAAAUACAGAUAGCUCUGCCGACAACCAGAAAACGGAACUUUCCAAACUUUUUCUCUGGGUUUCUGCCUGUUUUGAUUCUUACAAGUUACACCCACAUGUUGUUUAAAUUUUACUGAUGAUUCAGCAGAAGCUGCCACCAGCAAAACCAGUUGUUUUAAUGGCUGAGAACACCCUUGCUGCUGGCCUGAUUUUCUGUGAUGAUGGCAACAACCUGAUUCCUGGAGGUAAAACUCGACUCUCUCUCUCAAGAUGCUUGGUAAGAAUUGUAGCGACAGCACAUAUAACUAAUUCAUUAACUUAGAUCUCAAAUUUACUUCUUACUUAUAAGACUGGUUCAUUUUAGUUGUAUAAAAAAGAACUAUGUCUUGAGCAAAGUCCUCCUCUUUUCGUUUUGCAAAAUGAAGGAAAACUCACAAGUUGCAAUUGCUCCAAUUCUUAACCUAAAAGACCCCAAUUGGGCAGUGGGAAGUACAAAGUAUAGCACUGCUAAGAAAUUAAAGCAAAGGGCUGGUGCUGGAGCCCAGAGCGUUGCCUAGCAUGUGUGAGGCACUGGGUUCAAUCCUUUGCACCACAUAAAAAAUGAAACAAAUAAAAUAAAGGCAUGCUGUCCACCUACAACUAAAAAAAAAAAAAAGGAAAUAAAUGAAGUAAUGAUUAUAGUGAUGGGGGAAAUCAAAGCUGAUGCCCAAAUAGUUCAUUUCAUUAGCUCAGAAUGUGUAUUUACCAACCUGGUAUGAAUUUCAGAGGCAUUCCUAAAUUUCAUUUUGUUUGUUUUUGUUUUUUAGGGUUUCACUUACUCCUUUGUUUUAUUUUUACCUUAAAGCUACUUAACACUAAUUAGUAUAUUGAAUGUUUUAUAUUUCUAAAACAAACGUAUGCCAUGAGAUAAAUGAGCUGAGGAGAAACUUUGAUAAAGAAAAAAAUAUAAACAGAAGCAGGAAAAGUGAAAGUUUGGUCUUUCUGCAGAGUCCACAUACUCAGGCAAUGUUGAAAUUCAGCACAAUGGGGACAGAAAAGGAAGACAUAAUUUCACUGGAUUCUUGGAGGCGCUCAUUCUCAAUUGAAAGCUCCCAAGCAGUCCUCCAAAUUCCAAUUUUUUAUGAUCCCUUAGAUCAAUUUGUUAAAGGACGUAAAUGUUAAUCGUUAAUGUCUGAUUAUCUAUCUUGUUUUCUUUAAGCAUUACCUGUUUCCAUGGGCAUAAGAAGAGUCUCUGGCUGGGAUAUCAUGGAAGAAGUUUCUGAACUGGUAGACUUCUGACAAGAUUAACGACCCCCAGGUUUUCUCCUAAUUUCAAGAUUCAACAAAAGUUCUGGAAUGUUCUUGGGUUGAUUUUGUUUUGUUUUGUUUUAAUUCCACAGCCUUUGGCAUUCCAGUUCAGAGGACAAGUCUGAUAGUCUCCAUUCCUUUCAUUUUAUCAACUCUUAACAAAAGCUACUAGGCUCAGGCCAAAGGGGUAUUUUGACAUGAACAAUGCUUCUCAGGAAAAGAAGUGCCCAAAUUUUUAUCCUGUUAUUUGAGUGAAAGUUCUAAGUCCUUCCCUGAUGUUCCCUGGAAUUGUGAUUUAAUGACUAGUCACACCAGAACGGAACACAUGUUUCUACUUGCAAGAUUAUUAAGCACAUUACACAGUUCCAUUAUUGCCUUCCUGAGUCACCCUGCAUGUACUAGUGUCUGCGUAGAUUGCUUUUCAAAGGGUUUAAUAGAGAAAAGUGUUAGAAUACGUGUAAUUAAAUUCACUUAUUUUUACUUUAGCUUUUAAUUAUUUUUAAUGUAUUGACCACAGAGUAAGGAGAAAGUAUAGUAAAGAAAAAACAAUAUCAGCACUUAAUGUGGAAGGUUAUUGUUAUUGUUUUACUAAUAGAAUUUUGAGUUACAUAAGUGAACUGGAUAUACAUCAAUCAACAAUUUUCUCUAACAGGGAUUCUUACGUUUUGAAGUAUUUACCUUUAGAAAAGUAUCUGUUUCAAUAAGAAUGAUUCCCCAGGCUGAGGCUGUGGCUCAGUGGUAGAAUGCUUGCCUAGCAUGUGUGAGGCACUGGGUUCGAUUCUAAACACCACAUAUAAAUAAAUAAAGGUUCAUCAACAACUAAUAAAAUAUUUUAAAAAAAAAGAAUUAUUCCCAUAAAAAUUCUAUGUGUUUUAGAAUUUUAUAUUGAAAGCUCCUCUUAGGCAAUCCCAAUAAGCAUACUGGAAAUUAAUAUAAAAAUUUGACAUUCAACUUCUAAGAAUUUAAAACAUCUCUAAGAUGAUGUACAAUCAAUCAACAAAUACAAGAAAAAAUGUUCAUCAUCACCAGCAAUUAGAGAGAUGCAAAUCAAAACCACUGUAAGAUUUCAUCUCAUUCUAGUCAGAAUGGCAGCUAUUAUGCCAAUAACAAAAGUGUUGGCGAGAAUGUGGGGGGAAAAGUACACUCACACACUGCUGGUGGGACUGCAAAUUGGUGCAGCCAAUAUGGAAAGCAGUAUGAAGAUUUCUUGGAAAAUUGGGAAUGGAACCACCAUCUGACCCAGCUAUUCCUCUCCUCAGUCUAUGCCCAAAGGACUUAAAAACAGCAUACUACAGGGACACAGCCACAUCAAUGUUUAUAGCAGCACAAUUCACUAUAGCUAAACUGUGGAAGCAACCUAGAUGUCCUUCAGUAGAUGAAUGGAUUAAAAAAAAUGUGGCAUUUAUACACAAUGGAAUAUUAGUCAGUAAUAAAAGAGAAUAAAAUCAUGGCACUUGCAGGUAAAUGGAUGGAAUUAGAGAAGAUAAUGCUAAGUGAAGUUAGCCAAUACCAAAAAACUAAAUGCUAAAUGUUUUCUUUGAUAUAAGGAGGCUGAUUCAUAGUGGGAUAGGGAGCAGGAGCAUGGGAGGAAUAGACAACUCUAGAUAGGGCAGAGGGGUUGGGGGAAAGGGAGGGAGCAUGGGGUUAUUAAUGAUGGCAGAAUGUGAUGAUCAUUAUUAUCCAAAGUACAGGUAUGAAGACACAAAUUGGUGUGAAUAUACUGUGUAUACAAUCAGAAAUACGAAAAAAUGUGCUCUAUAUGUGUAAUAAGAAUGGUAAUGC